AACACCUCAAAUCCUUCAAUUUGUUUUGAAUGCUUUGGACUUGAGCAAUCCCAACACCAGUCUUUACGAUCGGCGGAGGGUUGCUUGAAAUGCAGGUGCAGCUGGACAUUCUCCUGAGCUAUAAGCAUAUUUAUUUAGUCCCGUCAAACGGAUUAUUACUUUUGCUGCAGCUAACAUAAAGGGAGUCUGACCAUAUUGGCUGACUGAUGCAGGAUUUCACAAGGGUCGGCAACGAUUCUUGUAAAAC
rnacentral:misc_RNA from 1 species